CCUACGGGUGGCAGCAGUGGGGGAUAUUGGACAAUGGGGGGAACCCCGAUCCAGCGACGCCGCGUGAGUGAAGAAGUCUCUCUGUAUGUAAAGCUCUAUCAGCAGGGAAGAAGAACUGACGGUACCCGAGUACGCAGCCCCGGCUAACUACGUGCCAGCAGCCGCGGUAAUACGUAGGGGGCAAGCGUUAUCCGGAAUUACUGGGUGUAAAGGGAGCGUAGACGGUGAUGUAAGUCUGGAGUGAAAGGCGGGGGCCAAACCCCCGGACUGCUCUGGAAACUAUGUGACUGGAGUGCAGGAGAGGUGAGCGGAAUUCCUAGUGGAGCGGUGAAAUGCGUAGAUAUUAGGAGGAACACCAGUGGCGAAGGCGGCUCACUGGACUGUAACUGACGUUGAGGCUCGAAAGCGUGGGGAGCAAACAGGAUUAGAUACCCCAGUAGUC
rnacentral:rRNA from 1 species